GCUGCAUUUUAACAAUUAGUGUCAAAGAAACUGAUCUAGAAGGAACAUGAUUUUACAAAUGCAUUUGCUCUGGCUGCUGUUCUCUGUGUUUGGAGAAUCCAGCGGGCAGAUUGUUAUCACUCAAACACCUGCUUCUGUGAUGGUGCUUCCAGGAGAGACGGUCACCAUUCAGUGCAAGGCUUCCAGCUCCAUGAGUAACGAUAUGCAAUUGCAUCUGUUUAAAUCAGGACAAAAUCCCAAACUCCUUAUAUAUAAUGGAGGCACCCGCUUCACCGGGGUCCCCGAUCGAUUCAGUGGUCGAUACAGCGGCACUGACUUCACAUUCACCAUUAGUGGCGUGCAGGCUGAUGAUGAAGGUGACUACUACUGUCAGCAAGACAAUAGCUUCCCUCUCACAGUGAUACAACUCAAUGCAAAAACCUCAUUAGUGCUGCAGCCUUCUUGGCAUGAAGCAGAAGGAAACAGCUGCAGUUGUAUCUAA